AUGGAGUCUGUGCUCGGCUUGGUUUUCCUUGUCGCUAUUUUAAAAGGUGUCCAGGGUGAGGUGCAGCUGGUGGAGUCUGGGGGAGACCUGGUGAAGCCUGGGGGGUCCCUGAGACUCUCCUGUGUGGCCUCUGGAUUCACCUUCAGUAGCUACUACAUGAGCUGGGUCCGCCAGGCUCCAGGGAAGGGGCUGCAGUGGGUCGCAUUGAUUUAUUCUAGUGGAAGUAGCACAUACUACGCAGACGCUGUGAAGGGCCGAUUCACCAUCUCCAGAGACAACGCCAAGAACACGCUGUAUCUGCAGAUGAACAGCCUGAGAGCCGAGGACACGGCCGUGUAUUACUGUGCG